rnacentral:rRNA from 1 species
AUUGAACGCUGGCGGCAUGCCUUACACAUGCAAGUCGAUCGGUAACAGGUUAAGCUGACGAGUGGCGAACGGGUGAGUAAUGUAUCGGAACUUGCCCAGUCGUUGGGGAUAACUGCUCGAUAGAGCAGCUAAUCCCGCAUACGACCUGAGGGUGAAAGCGUGGUAUCUCAAGACCUCGCGCCAUUCGAUCUGCCGUUAUCCGAUUACGUAGUUCGUGAGGUAAAGGCUAACCAAGCCGACGAUCUGUAGCUGGUCUGAGAGGACGACCAGCCACACUGGGACUGAGACACGGCCCAGACUCCUAAGAGAGGAAGAGGUGGGGAAUAUGGGACAAUGGGCGCAAGACUGAUCAAGCCAAGCCGCGAGCGGGAAGAAGGCCUUAGGGUUGAAAACAGCUUUUGUCAGGGAAGAAAAGGUAGAAGCUAAAACCUGGGAUUCAUGACGGUACCUGAAGAAUAAGCACAGGCUAACUACGUG